UAUGCUAGCCUAUGGCCCUAUUAUCACCAACAAAUUGACUAACUUUAAACAGGUGGAGGAGCAACUAUGCUACACCAACAAGUGGCAUCUGGACACCCCAAUUUGGCAUAAUACACAGUUAAUGGCACUCAUUUUUCAAC